rnacentral:lncRNA from 1 species
UAAAUGCUUAUUCUAUAAUAUAGAAAAAUCAAAAUUUUAAGUAAAUAUUUAUCAAACACAAAUUUAUACUAAGCAACAGAAUAAAAAUUUAAAAAGGGAAAAAAAUAUUUUAUUUGCCACCCUUUAAAAAAAUCUAAAAUAAAAAUAAUAAUAAAAAGAAUGUGAAUUUACAAAUUUGCCACUCUAUAAUUCUAUUCCAUCUCAUCUACCAGUCAAACCGUAAACACCUCAAUCAACCUUGUCAUCAUCUUCAUCUUCUUCGUCUUCAAUCUCAUCUCGUCUUCCCCAAAAUGCUUCUGUCAAACACUUAAACACGACGUCGUUCAUCCAACCAAAACACCCAUAUUCGCCACAAAUAAUCUCUCUCAAUCUCUCGAAAAACCCUUUAUCUCCAACCUCAGGUGUGUUCGACAUCGGCUGCAAGUAAGCCAAAGCCGCCUGCUUAACAAGCGGAUUCUUGAUCGGGAUCUCGUACCAGCUAGAAUUGUGGGUGGGUGAGGCGAUCGUAGGAGGUGAGAGAGGCAAUAGGUCCUUGAGGCUGGUGUAGGCGGCAGGCUGUAUCUUUAUCAUUUCUGUAUCGGAAAGUUGAAUAGAAGGAUUGAAGCCUUGUGGCAGAGAAAGGUGGAAGAUGAAGGGAGAUCCAGACAAGAGAGAUUAAGGUUUUAGUUGAGAAGAGAGUUAUAGUCUUUGGAUUGAAGUGGGAUUUUAGGAGUUUGGAUUGCAGGUACGAGUCGAGGAAUUAGAGAGGAAGCGGGGUGUGAUGACCGUGAUGUGCACGAAGGGAGAGAGAAGGUUCACUCGCAUAGAAAGAGAGUGAUAUGCACGAGCCAUUAAGGAUGGUUUUGCCUAUUAUGUGUUUCUAAUGGCUCUUAGCACCCUUAAAUUAAUUAUGAUUAAUC